rnacentral:rRNA from 1 species
AGUGAACGCUGGCGGUAGGCCUAACACAUGCAGGUCGAACGGCAGCACAGUAAGAGCUUGCUCUUACGGGUGGCGAGUGGCGGACGGGUGAGGAAUACAUCGGAAUCUACUUUUUCGUGGGGGAUAACGUAGGGAAACUUACGCUAAUACCGCAUACGACCUACGGGUGAAAGCAGGGGAUCUUCGGACCUUGCGCGAUUGAAUGAGCCGAUGUCGGAUUAGCUAGUUGGCGGGGUAAAGGCCCACCAAGGCGACGAUCCGUAGCUGGUCUGAGAGGAUGAUCAGCCACACUGGAACUGAGACACGGUCCAGACUCCUACGGGAGGCAGCAGUGGGGAAUAUUGGACAAUGGGCGCAAGCCUGAUCCAGCCAUACCGCGUGGGUGAAGAAGGCCUUCGGGUUGUAAAGCCCUUUUGUUGGGAAAGAAAAGCAGCAGGUUAAUACCCCGCUGUUCUGACGGUACCCAAAGAAUAAGCACCGGCUAACUUCGCG